rnacentral:rRNA from 1 species
UACAGAGGUCCCAAGCGUUGUUCGGAUUCAUUGGGCGUAAAGGGUGCGUAGGUGGCGCGCUAAGUCGGGUGUGAAAUUUCGGAGCUUAACUCCGAAACUGCAUUCGAUACUGGCGUGCUUGAGGACUGGAGAGGAGACUGGAAUUCAUGGUGUAGCAGUGAAAUGCGUAGAGAUCAUGAGGAAGACCAGUGGCGAAGGCGGGUCUCGUGGACAGUUCCUGGCACUGAGACACGAAGGCCAGGGGAGCAAACGGG